rnacentral:rRNA from 1 species
AACAAGGAUUCCCCUAGUAACUGCGAGUGAAGCGGGACGAGCUCAAAUUUUGAAUCUGGCAGUCCUUACCCGGCUGUCCGAGUUGUAAUCUAGAGAAGCGUCUUCCGCGCCGGACCGUGUACAAGUCUCCUGGAAGGGAGCGUCAUAGAGGGUGAGAAUCCCGUCUUUGACACGGACUGCCGGGUGCUUAUGUGAUGCGCUCUCGACGAGUCGAGUUGUUUGGGAAUGCAGCUCAAAAUGGGUGGUAAAUUCCAUCUAAAGCUAAAUAUGGGCGAGAGACCGAUAGCGAACAAGUACCGUGAGGGAAAGAUGAAAAGAACUUUGGAAAGAGAGUUAAACAGUAUGUGAAAUUGCUGAAAGGGAAACGCUUGAUGUCAGUCGCGUCGGCUGGGGAUCAACCUUGCUUCAUCGCUCGGUGUACUUCCUAGUCGAUGGGUCAGCAUCAGUUUCGGUCGCUGUACAAGGGCCGAAGGGAAUGUAGCACUCUUCGGAGUGUGUUAUAGCCCUUCGUCGUAUGCAGUGGCUCGGGACUGAGGAACUCGGCACGGACUUNGGUCCUGUNGCCUAGGAUGCUGGCAUAAUGGCCUUAAGCGACCCGUCUUGAAACACGGACCAAGGAGUCUAACAUGCCUGCGAGUGUUUGGGUGCAAAACUCGAGCGCGUAAUGAAAGUG